CCGUGUUGCUAACUGGAGCUAUAUUUGGCGGGGCGGGUUGAGGGGUGAUUAUAGGUAGACUGUUAGUAAAAUAUUUUUACAUAAAUAUCAACCUUGUACACUAGGUUUCAGUUCAUUGACCUAGCCAAAUUCUUAAUGCAUUCUAGAGGUAACUGUGGAUAGAUAGCGCGAAAUAUCACCAUGUAUUUCACCAUCAGUUGGGAAUUUUUGUCUUACUUAAAAUAAAAUGGGUGGGAUGCCGCAGUAACCAAACUCUCAUGGACGACAAACAUAUGUUAGAUAUGCUGUAUGUGAUCGGUUGUUAGAUCUUGUAAUAUUGUUUGCUUUUGACCAGUACUGUGUAUUGUUUGUUGACUGUGAUAUUGUUCAUUUUUGCAUCAUGUUGCAUAUUCUGCUGUGGUAUCUGAUCAUUUCAUAAAUAAAGAAUUUAAAAAAAAAAGAAAUAACACCCCCAAAGCACCCCCUUAACAGUUUAGACCGACUGCAUUGUGCUUGUCCAAAGAGUUCCAUGAAUUCAGCCUGGUGGUCGGUCUUUUUUGAGAGUACGAAAUAUAAC